AUGAAGCUCUCAGUUCAGAGAUCAAGAUGAUUGGGGGAUAAGAAGAAGAAAAACAUUCCUGCAGGACUGGUCUGGGCAGAAGAGGAGUUGUGGUAACUAGAUAUGAGGAGAAAGAGAGGAAGGAGGCACAGAGCAGUUGGAGCUUGCUGCCUGGAAGAAUGACGUUUUAGAGACAAGGUCUGACUGUGUUGCCCAGGCUGGACUUCAACUCCUCAGUACAAGUGAUCCUCCUGCCUGAGCCUCCUGAAUAGCUGGGACUACAGGCCUGCACCACCAUACCCUGCUCUAGUUACACAAAUCUUAAAAUGAUGCUGUUAUGUUAAUUCAAUUAAGAAAGUAAACUAGUUCUAUGAUCCAAGCACAUAGUUGUGACUCAAUUCAUGUUGUUGUUUUUAAUCCUGAAAUGAUAUUGUAAAAUAAGAGCUUUG
rnacentral:lncRNA from 1 species